GUCCACCCCUGCAAAAAAAAACCCCAAACAGACUGAAAAUACAGUGGCAAAAAAGUAUUUAUCCCCCAACACAGACUUCUGCUGUUUUUGCUUGUUUUCCACAUUUAAAUGCUUCAGAUCAUCAAACAAAUGUUAAUAUCAGACAUAGAUAACCCGAAUAAACACAAAAAGCAGUUUCUAAAUUAUGAUUUCACUUAUUAAGUUCAGAAAAUUAUCCAAACCAACCUGACUAACUGAUUAACCACUUCUGAUUUUGGUGAAGAACCACUGCUGACCCCAAAAGAACACAAAGGUCCGUCUCACAUUAACCAAAGUACACGAUAAUCCCCAAGACUUGUGGGAAAAUAUUCUGUGGACUGAUGGGACAAAAGCGGACUUUCCUAGAAGGUGUGCGUCCCGUUACACCUGGGCCCUGUUUCAGAAAGUGAGGUUAACAAGCUCUGAGUAGAAAGCAGGUACUCUGAGUUGACCUACUCUGCUCUGUGAUACUCCGGGUUUCUGGUUCAGAACAAUUGGGUUACUCAACUCUGAGUCAAGUCAACCCUGAGUUAAGCACAGGUGUGAGUUUAUAAGAAGCCGUCAUCAAUGCAAUGGAAAUAGGAAAUAAGAAGCCUUGAAGUUCGUAUUUCUAGCCAAUAAUUUUAGCAUGCUAAUUAUGGCAAAUGGAGAAUAUCGGCACAUAUUGAAGAAGAAAACAAUCCUGCUGCUGCAGCAAAAUAGCAAGUUAGUGUGGCAGAGACCAAGUCAACGCAUGAGUAUGAUUUGAUGAAGAAUUAAUGAUGCAAUUUCCCAAAAACAUUUAGGUGUAGCCGGCCAUCUUCACACUGCCGAUUCUUAAUAUAUCUAUUUAAACAACACGGAUAAAAGUGGGUAAUUUUGUGCUUCCUAAAUAUGAUUCAAUUUGACCUCCAUUAUAGUGAAUGUGAAAAAGGCAGAAGCCAGAAGAACAGGUGUGGGUCCACCACCACCACCACCACUGUCUGAGGCAGAAGAGAUGGCCCUCGGUCACAACAGUGGACGGCCUGUUGCCGAGGGCCUCUCUGGGGGGUCGUCAUCUGACCCAAACAUCCCUCAGGAUGCAAACCAUAACGUUAAAGGUUAGUUACUGAAAUAACUAACCUCUACAUUCAUCCUUUUCCCCGCGUUGGCUCUAAGACACCACGCGUCCAUCUUAAACAGUAGUUGACACCGAUUCUGUUGUAGGUGUACAAUUUGUGACUACAGUCACUUUAACAUUAUUAUUUAUAUCUACUUGGUAAAAUGAAGUAAGAGCUGGAGCUAUACAAGUUAAAAAAUGUGAUGUGGACCCAAGAGUGUUGGAAAACCCCCUCAAAAAACAAACAAAGUAAAUGGUAAGUGGACUUUAUGUUGGUCCACGUCUCCCUCUGUCACUGCACCAAAGCAUCAUCCAAUCCAUCCUACUGUACUGCUCCACCUGUUUUUAUAACAUAAAAUAACACGGUUAACCAGCACUGCUGGUAAAAUCAUAGGCCUGCCCACAUCCAACCUUUCUGAACUCAACAUUAAGGCUAUCAUACGCUUGGCAAUCUCACUACCACAGGACUCUACUCACCCACUACAGGAAUACCUCACCCCACUACCCUCAGGACGCAGAUAAAGGACACCGAGGUGCAGAAGGACUUGUUUUGUUGUGGAUGGUCUUCUGACUUCUGUCCCAAAACUUCUCCGUGCAGUUGACAUUGUCUUCUGCCACAGAGAGGGAGCAGACACAGACACUUAUUGAGAACAAUGAUGGACAUUCAGGUGAAGAGGGUCUGUCCACCUCUGGAGGGCAGCUUGCCUCUGGAAGAAGUUAAAGGUUGGCUCAUGACUUCAUGUGAAACUGAAAUAUGUUUCGGUCCCUAAAGCUCCCUGUGAAACAGCAACAAAGACAACAUGGAAACAUCUUUAAUCAGAGAGGAAGACCUAAACAUGCAGCUGCAGAAAACAGUCAGAAAUCCAACGGCUGGAGCAUCAGGU